rnacentral:precursor_RNA from 14 species
AUUAAAGUUGUGAUGUGCUGUGCAGUGCUGUAUUCAGAUUGGUGCCUGUCAUGUUUAUAAGAAUGAAAGACGCCAAACUGGGUAGAGUGGAGCUCAUUGUGUUCUUCAUUCAGAGU